rnacentral:tRNA from 1 species
GGCAGUGUAGCCAAGUGGUUACGGCGUCACGUUUAGGCCUUGAGCAAACCGUGAUGGGUUUCCCGCGCGAGUUCGAAUCUCGUCACUGUCA